UCCUUCCCUUCCCGUCUUUYAUUCUUUUCUUUAGUUUUCUUUCCUUUCUCUUCCUUCGUUGCUUCCUUCCUUUCCUCCSCUUCUCUUCCUUUCUAUCUUCCCUCAUUCCUUCCUUCCCUUCCUCCUUUCCUUCUCAUCUCUUCCUUUCUACCUUCUUUCCCUUCUCUUCCUUUCCUUCUUGCCUUCCUUUCAUUCCUUCCCUUCCUUUCAGUCCUUCCUUCCCUUCCUCCUCUCCCUUCUUCCCUUCCCUUCUCAUACUUUCUACCUUCCUUCCCUUCCUUUCCUCCUUCCCUUCCUUCCCUCCCUUCUUUCCUUUCCUYCUUUUCCUUUCUACCUUCCUUCCUUUCCUUCCCUCGUUCCUUCUCUCCCUUCCUUCCCUUUUUCCUUUCCUUGCCUUUCCUUUGCCUUCCUUCCUUCCUUCCUUCUUUUCCCUCCUCCUUCYUGGGUCUCCUCCCCUCCGGAUGAAGAAGGCGAGGAAGAAAAGGGGGCUGGGGCGUUUCUGAUAGGGCGGCGGGGAGGGAAAGAGGGCGAGGAGGGGAGAAGAGGGAAAAGAAGGAGGGAAACCAGGAGGAGGAGGAGGAGGAGGAGGAGGAGUGACUCCGGACCCAAGUGGGCGCCAGGCGCUCCUCCUGCUCCUGCUGCUGCCUCUGCCACAAGCGGCUCCUGGGAUCACUGGGUGUGGGGGCGCUUUCGGCGAGGCUUUCUCCUUCUUUCCUUCCCUCCUCCUUGGGCUUCUCUUGACAUCCUUGGCGAGCCUCUCUCUCCUUUCGGAUAAUCCUCCUUCCAGCGCGUGUGAACGUUUUGCAACCCGCCCGCGGAUUCCGCCAAGAUGGGGGUUGUAACAGGAUUACGACGGAGCAUGAACCUCAAGAUGAGGCACUAGUGAUGCAAAGGCAGUGACACUUGCUUGGGAAGAAUUGCAGCCAUGUUUUGAAGA